GACAGUUCUGAGGAGGCUCCUUCGAUUUUUGACGAUAAGAAGUAGGAGUCUGCUUAUUUGCACGGUUCCCCCCUUCCCACGACUGUGGAAGUGCCCAGAGAAAAGGGCAAAAAUAUUAGAUAUCAAUGAAUUAAUUAGGAGAGAUGUCGUUGCCAUCAAUGAAAAGAUCUGAUACGACAGGCAACAAAUGAACUGUCACCCAUGGAUUUUUUCGGACCAUUUUUGGAGAAUGGGCAACCAAGGAGGAAUUUUUUCGAAAGGGAAGGUCUCCACUUUAAUAAGAAAGGCUUCCAAUACGUGAAGUGGAUUUUCAUGCAGCAGGUGAUAAUAAGGUAUUGCUGCUGAACAAGGCAGUAGGCGAGGGGGCCUGCCAUUAUAUUUAAAACUCCCCAUCACUGGCGACGGGCAGUAGGCAAGGGGAGUGGAGUGUUGCAGCCUUUAUUAUUUUAUUUUAUAAUACAUUAUUUUAAUAUAGCAUUGAU